rnacentral:rRNA from 1 species
CUUAAAUGAAGUGGACGGGGCCCGCACAAGCGGUGGAGUAUGUGGUUAAUUCGAUGCAACGCGAAGAACCUUACCUGGUCUUGACAUCCCGGAGACCCUUAGGAAACUAGGGGGUGCUUCCAUCUGGAAGAAUCUGGAGACAGGUGCUGCAUGGCUGUCGUCAGCUCGUGUCGUGAGAUGUUGGGUUAAGUCCCGCAACGAGCGCAACCCUUGCCUUUAGUUGCCAGCAGUUCGGCUGGGCACUCUAAAGGGACUGCCGGUGUUAAACCGGAGGAAGGUGGGGAUGACGUCAAGUCCUCAUGGCCUUUAUGACCAGGGCUACACACGUACUACAAUGGCCGAUACAAAGGGCAGCGACACUGCGAGGUGAAGCCAAUCCCGUAAAAUCGGUCUCAGUCCGGAUUGGAGUCUGCAACUCGACUCCAUGAAGUUGGAAUCGCUAGUAAUCGCGCAUCAGCCGUGGCGCGGUGAAUACGUUCCCGGGCCUU